rnacentral:rRNA from 1 species
CACUCCUGCGGGAGGCAGCAGUGAGGAAUAUUGGACAAUGGGUGGAAGCCUGAUCCAGCCAUCCCGCGUGCAGGAAGACGGCCCUAUGGGUUGUAAACUGCUUUUAUCUGGGGAUAAACCUACUUACGUGUAAGUAGCUGAAGGUACCAGAAGAAUAAGCACCGGCUACCUCCGUGCCAGCAGCCGCGGUAAUACGGAGGGUGCAAGCGUUAUCCGGAUUUAUUGGGUUUAAAGGGUCCGUAGGCGGACUGAUAAGUCAGUGGUGAAAUCCGACAGCUUAACUGUCGAACUGCCAUUGAUACUGUUAGUCUUGAGGAAGGUUGAAGUGGCUGGAAUAAGUAGUGUAGCGGUGAAAUGCAUAGAUAUUACUGAGAACACCAAGUGCGAAGGCAGGUCACUAAGUCUUAACUGACGCUGAUGGACGAAAGCGUGGGGAGCGAACAGGAUUAGAAACCCUAGUAGUCCCA